GACAGAGUGGCGCACGGGUGAGUAACGCGUGGGAAACUGCCCUUCUGUGCGGGACAACAUCUGGAAACGGAUGCUAAUACCGCAUACGCCCUACGGGGGAAAGGUCCGCCGCAGAAGGAGGUGCCCGCGUCCGAUUAGCUUGUUGGUGAGGUAAGAGCUCACCAAGGCAACGAUCGGUAGCUGGUCUGAGAGGAUGAUCAGCCACACUGGGACUGAGACACGGCCCAGACUCCUGCGGGAGGCAGCAGUGGGGAAUAUUGGACAAUGGGGGCAACCCUGAUCCAGCAAUGCCGCGUGUGUGAUGAAGGCCUUAGGGUUGUAAAGCACUUUCACUGGUGAAGAUGAUGACGGUAGCCAGAGAAGAAGCCCCGGCUAACUUCGUGCCAGCAGCCGCGGUAAU
rnacentral:rRNA from 1 species